CCAAAUCCAGAAAAAGAUUCCACAUAGAGAGAAGCAGCAGCCACUAUUGGUUCUUAUUUUUUGCCCUAGAAGAAGAAAACAUAUUUGUAAUCAGGAUAUUGUGUGUUCUGACUUCUGAGCGUCAAGAAACAGGCCAGACGCACACUCAUAUACGUAUUCAGCAGGUCCGACCUGAGUUUUUAACUGGACUAGAGUCUUUACCGUGUCAUCAGAUUCACUGAUAGCCCUUUACAUGACAGCUCAGUCCAAUCCAUACAUGCAGAGAAAGGGAUGUCGGAACAUCCACACACGCAACACCGAACAGAUCCGAUACCAUUCCGGUCUCUCCGGUGGCCAUAGCGAUUAACACGACGUUACCUUACAAUUCUGUCUUCGGUGAUUCCGGCUUCCCUGGCGUGAAGAACUCCGGUUGCCGGUCCCUGUUCUCUCCUAAUCGAGCGAGGAAUCGACGUGGCGGCUCUUUUUCUCUACACCACUGCGCCUGGCUCUCGCUUGUCUUCUUCGACAGCACUGUCCAUUGUUGGCAUCGUUUUAAGCACUGGGAGGGUUGCCCUAACCGUCUCCUUUGCCUCUCAAUCGCAGCCUGACUGAAUGGGAGCGACGGGAGAAGUUGUCGCUUAAGCAGAAUUUGACACAUACUGAACAUUAUAUGCACAAUGUAUUGCCUAUCAUUAAUCAAUUACGUCCCGGUUCUGCCUUUUGCAUAUUUACUUCUAUUCGAAUUCCUAAUCUUACUAUUAUACUAUGCUGUUUAUUUAGAGGACUACUUAUAACAGAAUGCUAAAAGGUUCCAUCUUUGUUCUUUUUGCUUCUUUUGUUGAUUUGUUUAUGCAGUGGGACAUUAGGGGUAAUCAUACAGUCUUCUAUAUAUCUUCUCACCCUAUUGCACAAAAGCCAUGAAAGUUGAAGUUGAACCCAGAAUCUUUUUGCAUCGAUCUAUUUGUUAUGAUCACACAAGGGGUUUAACAUUUUCUGUCUCACUUCAAGUGUUCCCUAGCAUUGUUCUUCCCUGUGAAUUGGAGCGCUCAGAGAAGACUUACUCUGCUUGGAACAAAAUCAGUCAGCGGAAUGAAUUCGAUUUUGACACCAGGGAUUGAUGCAAAUCUAUUUUGUAAAAAGCCAAUCCUCUUUUUCUUGAAAGUUGUAAAAAGAGUAGGUAUUGCUACAAUGGGAUGGAAUGAGCAGGGCUGGAGGAGAUGAUUUAAAAAGGAAAGUUUUCUGCUUUCCACGUUCACCUCCUUUGACUCAUGGGCAAAGUAUGGAGGUGAUCGGAUUUCCUCUGAGGAAGAAUUGGCAUUUGGUACCACAUCGACUAUUGUGCAAUCAAAAUCAAACUAGUGAUGAACACCUCAUGGCAACGGUUGGGCAGAGUGACAAAGGAUCUUCUCACAGACAACUCAAAAGGCCCUGGAAGCAGCAGAAAUUCUGCUCAGUUAAGUCUUUACAAUCUGCCUAGUAUAAUUAUGAGUUUUCUCAUGACUGGUUUCUUAUCACAAUGUUGUUGAGUUGACUCAGCUUUUAAACAUAAGCUCUUAUUAUAAAGUUAGAGUAGGCCCAUUUGUUCCCAUGGCAUGAUGGAAAGGUCAACAAAAGCAAGAAGGAAUAGGGAUGAUUUCUGUUAUUUUUUAUUGAUAUACACUCUCUUACUGAUGGAAUGCAAUUUGAAAAGUCAGCAAGGCCUUUGGUUGGAGCUCCUAAGAUUUAAAGCAAACUGGAUAAGAUGAUGACAGGAGACUUUUCACGUUGGUCAAAAUUAGGGUUCUUGACUACUUUUGAAAUGCUGAAGUUGGCUUUCUGAAGUUGAAGUUGAAGUUGAAGUUGAAGUUUGGGAAAGAAAAUGGAUUGGACAUAUUGAUUACCAUCUCUGAAUUAGUAGCUUUUGUUGAUUGACCCUCUGACUUGAGCUUUAUGACAGUGGUGGCCCUGGACAUAAAAAUAGACAUGAUUGGUUAUGGUUUGAUCAAAAAUAUGUGCACUCCUUUUUGCAUUAUCUCAUAAGGUUUUGUAAUGGUUGUGUAAUGCGAGUCUGGGGACUUGCAUCAUGCUGGAAGGUUGCCGUUUUGUCUGAUAGCUUAAGCUCCACUAUUUGAUCUGAAUGAAUAUUGUUAUAUGUUGGGGAAUCUGUCUGGCUAAUCUUCAAUGAAGAUUACAGCUCAAGUCAAGAGCCCACAUGAGGCCUUUUGCUGGAGAAACUUACAGGGACGUUAUGGUAUAUGAUCACAGUUCACACUAAAAAUUUAUUAGCCCAUUAGAUAUUUGAUAAGUUUGCAUGGUCUCUCCACAUAUAGAGUCAAUCAGCAUAGCUGUUGGUGCUCAAUCUACAAUUGAAAAAAGAGUUAAAGGUGGGGCAUCAAAGAGGUUCAGACAGUCAAGUCAGUAAGGCAGAUCGGAUCAGGGGAUCCGAUGGGGUUUGGAUGGUAAAAAUUAAACUGUAGCCAUUAAUUUUGAGAAUUUAU